GCGGCCGUGAGGGGCGGGGGGGCGAGGUGUCCCCGGCCGCCUCCGCUCGGCCCUCGGGCAGCGCGGACGGGCUGUCCUCAGCGCGGCGCUGGAGGCCCUGGGCGCUUCCCUGCGGGCAGUGCCCUGCGGGCGCCUGCGGGUCCCUCUACCAGAGAAAGGCUUUGUAUUCCUGAGGGACGACACCGGCAUUCCCCACUCCCCCCCACCCCCAGAGCUGGGGCGGCCGCUCGGUGCUGCGCGGCGGGGCCGUGUCGCAGCGAGUGACCCGCUUUGUGAGGCGAAGCCUCGCACGGAGAUUGACGGGCUGAGUGGUUGAGGAAAUCCAUCCUUCGGAUUUCAUCAGCAUCCCCCCGCCAGCCCCUGGCUGUACGUGCGCUCCCGCAAGGAUAACAUAACCAGGGUGAUAAAAGCUUUCUGAAAACACUACAGCUGCUGAUAAUGGAAGCUAUUCUGAAAUGUUAAGAAAGGAAAGACACAAAAGUAGAUGGGAGUCCACCUGGUUUCCUUGUGAUUCAGACAGACUGAAGCAAGGCUGAGGACUGUAUCCCCUCAAAAACCAGGUGGGGCAAUAUGCAACAUUUACACCAAAACUGAAGUUUUAAAACAAACUAGAAAACAGUGGAAAGAAGCCUAAUUUCCUACAGGAAGAACACAGCAAAGAAAGAACAUUUGUGAUGGAUUGUCUGUCCUUCUCUGUCGAACCCGAGGGAUACAGAAUUUGGCAUACAGUCAUGGACUGAGAGGCAGCAACAGCAGAUGGAUCACCUUGGCCACGUGGCAGUUGCCUUGUCCUUGCUUGCAGUGAGAGCCUCGUGGUGCAAGAAUAGAAUGUUCCUGUCAAUCCAGCAGAUGUGCUAGCGUGUCCUCCAUUUGAUUAGGCUUAGGAAUGCUAUUUUCUCCCCACAUCCAUAAAUUACUUAUUUCCAUGAAA